GAAGAAGAAGAAGAAGAAGAAGAAGAAGAAGGAGGAGGAGGAGAGAUUUGAGGGAAGAGGUAGCAGUCCCUGCCAUGAUGAUGCAUAUCAUAAAUUAUUACUCACCCCAUGUUCCCACCCUCGAGAGACCUCCAAACAAUCACCAUGCCACAGUGAACAUUCAGUAACAAAAAUUCAGCCAGGGUUUUCACCAGCAUGAAUGGCAGUGAUUCCAAUCAGGAAAACAGAAAGAGGAGAGUUCAGAGCCACCUAGAAUGGCUCUUGCAAGAUACGAAAUCAAGGCAGCAGCAACAGGGCUGAACAUUCCUCAUCCCUAACUCUCCCUUCACCAGUAGGAAACCCAGGAUAACUGCAAUCACCGCAGGCCCAUCUGGCCUGAAGUUCUACUACUAGUAGCCCUCCAUGGGACCUUCUUAAGGAAGCAUGUCAACUCAGGUAAGGGAUGUAAGGGGAUGGAUGACCCUUUGAGGCCAAAGUUGGAGCAAAAAACACCAGAUGUUCCUGUGCACUGCUCCUAAGAGAUGGUUCUGAAGACCAGUUCGGGGAGAGGUCAAAAUACUGGACAGAAUCUCAGCAACAUGGAACCUCAAACUAAGUGACAGUCACAGACAACUCUUCCCCAAAGAAAAUAAGCACAGACAUGGUUUGUGGUAAGCAGAAUUAUAAAGAUGAAUUCCCAUCUCCCUGUCAGAUUACCAGUAUGGUAAAUUACCAGAUUACCUGGUUAUUUAUUCAAACACUAAUACAGUUAUUGCCUUGAUGGAAACAUACAGAUACAAUUAAAAUCCCAAGUACCAAAUAAAUUGACCUUAAGACAAAGACUAAGUAAAUCACAUGAGCCCUCUACAAGCAGAGAGUUUUUCUCCAGCUGGUAGCAGAAGCCAGAGAUUUGAAGCAUAGGAAGUAUUCAACACAUUAUUGCUGGCCUGAAAAUGGAAGGGGCCACAUAACGAGGGAAACCGGUGGCCUCUAGAAGCAGGGAGCAGUCCCCUGCUGACAGACAGCAAGCCAAGACCUCAGUUCUACAAUUGCAAGACACUCAAUUCUGCUAAGGACAAAAAUGAGCUUGGAAGUGAACUCUGAGCUUCAGGUGAGAACACGGCCAAACAACACCUUGAUUUCAGCUUAAACAAAGAAUGCAGCCACUCCAUGCCAGAAUUCUGACCUGUAGAAAUUUGAGCUAAUAAAUAGAUGUUUUAAUAGCUUCA
ensembl:lncRNA HISLA HIF1A stabilizing long noncoding RNA